rnacentral:tRNA from 1 species
GGUUCCAUAGUAUAGUGGUUAGCACAUCUGCUUUACAUGCAGAAGGUGCUAGGUUGGCUCCCCAGAGGAGCCA